rnacentral:misc_RNA from 1 species
AAGUCGUAACAAGGUUUCCGUAGGUGAACCUGCGGAAGGAUCAUUAAUGAAUAAAGGUAUCACGCCUCACGGCUGUGUGUUGGAUCAUCAUUGUGCAAUAGUCUUUGAUCCACUUCCUAUCAUAUCCAUAACACCUGUGCACUGUUGGAUGCUUGCAUCCACUUUUAAACUAAACAUUAUUGUAACAAAUGUAGUCUUAUUAUAACAUAAUAAAACUUUCAACAACGGAUCUCUUGGCUCUC